rnacentral:rRNA from 1 species
CAGUAGCCGCGGGAAUACGAAGGGGGCUAGCGUUGCUCGGAAUGACUGGGCGUAAAGGGCGCGUAGGCGGCUUGUAUAGUCAGAUGUGAAAUUCCUGGGCUCAACCUGGGGACUGCAUUUGAUACGUGCAGGCUUGAGUGUGGAAGAGGGUCGUGGAAUUCCCAGUGUAGAGGUGAAAUUCGUAGAUAUUGGGGAGUACACCGGUGGCGAAGGCGGCGACCUGGUCCUUGACUGACGCUGAGGCGCGAAAGCGUGGGGAGCAAACAGGAUUAGAUACCCGCGUAGUCCCUGUCUCUUAUAC